UGGGGAAUAUUGGACAAUGGGCGAAAGCCUGAUCCAGCCAUGCCGCGUGUGUGAAGAAGGUCUUCGGAUUGUAAAGCACUUUAAGUUGGGAGGAAGGGCAGUAAGCGAAUACCUUGCUGUUUUGACGUUACCGACAGAAUAAGCACCGGCUAACUCUGUGCCAGCAGCCGCGGUAAUACAGAGGGUGCAAGCGUUAAUCGGAAUUACUGGGCGUAAAGCGCGCGUAGGUGGUUCGUUAAGUUGAAUGUGAAAGCCCCGGGCUCAACCUGGGAACUGCAUGCAAAACUGGCGGGCUGGAGUAGGGCAGAGGGGGGUGGAAUUUCCUGUGUAGCGGUGAAAUGCGUAGAUAUAGGAAGGAACACCAGUGGCGAAGGCGACCACCUGAGCUCAUACUGACACUGAGGUGCGAAAGCGUGGGGAGCAAACAGG
rnacentral:rRNA from 1 species